GUGAAUCAUCAAAUCUUUGAACGCAAAUUGCACUCUCUUCGGAGAGUAUGCCUGUUUGAGGGUCAGCCUAAAAAAAAUCGACAUAGUCGCUGUUUCCGGUUGACUUUCGUCGGAAAUGGGGUCAUCUUAAACCUUUUGGUUUUAGCCGGCUUAAAAUUUUCUUUACGAUUCCACGAAGGUUUCUAAGAUUUACUUACACUUUAAAGUUUUCAACCUUUAUAGGACUUGGC
rnacentral:misc_RNA from 1 species